rnacentral:rRNA from 1 species
UUUAUGAAGAGUUUGAUCCUGGCUCAGGAUGAACGCUAGCGGUGCGCCUAACACAUGCAAGUCGAGCGCCCCCACCUUGCUUUUAAAUUCGACGUUAAAAACUCGAAACUCGAAGUCUUUCGAAUUUCGAACUUCGGGUUUAGAGUUUGAAAGUAAGGUGGGGGAGCGGCGAACGGGUGAGUAACACGUUGGAACCUACCCCAGACUCAGGGAUAGCCCGCCGAAAGGUGGAUUAAUACCGGAUAGUCUCGUAAGAGUAAAGCUUUUGCGGUUUGGGAGGGGCCUGCGGCCUAUCAGCUUGUUGGUAAGGUAACGGCUUACCAAGGCAAUGACGGGUAUCUGGUGUGAGAGCAUGACCAGACACAAUGGAACUGAGAUACGGUCCAUACUCCUACGGGAGGCAGCAGUGAGGAAUCUUCCGCAAUGGGCGAAAGCCUGACGGAGCGACACCGCGUGGAGGACGAA